UACGUAGGGUGCGAGCGUUGCCCGGAUUUAUUGGGCGUAAAGGGCGCGCAGGCGGCCACGCACGUCCGUUGUGAAAUCGCCCGGCUCAACUGGGCGGGGUCAGCGGAUACGGUGUGGCUCGAGCAAGCUAGGGGGCAAUGGAAUUCCCGGUGUAGUGGUGGAAUGCGUAGAUAUCGGGAGGAACACCAGUGGCGAAGGCGGUUGCCUGGAGCUUUGCUGACGCUGAGGCGCGAAAGCGUGGGGAGCGAUCCGG
rnacentral:rRNA from 1 species